UACGUAGGUGGCAAGCGUUGUCCGGAUUUAUUGGGCGUGAAGGGAGCGCAGGUGGUUUCUUAAGUCUGAUGUGAAAGCCCACGGCUUAACCGUGGAGGGUCAUUGGAAACUGGGAAACUUGAGUACAGAAGAGGAAUGUGGAACUCCAUGUGUAGCGGUGGAAUGCGUAGAUAUAUGGAAGAACACCAGUGGCGAAGGCGACAUUCUGGUCUGUUACUGACACUGAGGCUCGAGAGCGUGGGGAGCAAGCAGG
rnacentral:rRNA from 1 species